GUUUACCUUCCCCUUUCCUCAAUGGACUGUUGGCACUCACUGGACUCACACUUGAUUUGGUGCUCUUUCCCCCAGGUUUUCUUUUGGACAU